rnacentral:ribozyme from 1 species
UGUUCAGCAACUCCUAUCCCUACUUCCUCGUGGUACCGGCCGGAAACUAUGAGAGCAACCUUAGGGAAGAUCAAGUAACCAACCCCGGUGGGAGCAUUGGUCGUAGGCUGACAGGGAAGG